rnacentral:rRNA from 1 species
ACCCGCACAAGCAGUGGAGUAUGUGGUUUAAUUCGAAGCAACGCGAAGAACCUUACCAGGUCUUGACAUCCCCCUGACCGCAUCAGAGAUGGUGCUUUCCUUCGGGACAGGGGAGACAGGUGGUGCAUGGUUGUCGUCAGCUCGUGUCGUGAGAUGUUGGGUUAAGUCCCGCAACGAGCGCAACCCUUGAUGUUAGUUGCCAGCAGGUGAGGCUGGGCACUCUAAGAUGACUGCCGGUGACAAACCGGAGGAAGGUGGGGAUGACGUCAAAUCAUCAUGCCCCUUAUGACCUGGGCUACACACGUACUACAAUGGCCGGUACAACGGGAAGCGAAGGAGCGAUCCGGAGCCAAUCCCAGCAAAGCCGGUCUCAGUUCGGAUUGCAGGCUGCAACUCGCCUGCAUUAAGUCGGAAUUGCUAGUAAUCGCGGAUCAGCAUGCCGCGGUGAAUACGUUCCCGGGUCUUGUACACACCGCCCGUCACACCACGAGAGUUUACAACACCCGAAGCCGGUGGGGUAACCUGAAGCGUUUCGCAAGAAACGCACAUCGGAAGCGAUGCUCAGGGGCCAGCCGUCGAAGGUGGGGUAGAUGAUUGGGGUGA